UUUUUUGACUGCGAUCCAGACUUCCAGAGUCUGUGGGUCUACAGCAGUCAAGCAGGACAGACGGCAAUUCAUCUUGGGUCUCACCAGUAGCACAGAAGAGGUUGGUGUUUAUUGAAACAUACAGCUAAGACACUGUGUGGCCACCACAGGCACUAUGAGCCUCAGACUGCCCAGAGCAGUCUUCUCUGACCUCUGUGUGAAGACGUGGUUCGUCUACAGCUGACCUGGGGCUUGUUCCUUCAGAGGCUAGUGGCCUCAUCAUUGCACUGUGGUGAGCUGGUGGUCUCAGUGGUUCCCUCCGUAAGAACCACACUGGACAGAACAAAGACAGGUUCCGAACCACUUGAUGGAUCUCCAGCUGGGGGACUGUGUACGCAGAGAGAGAGCCAUGCCACAAACUCAGCGUUCUUUUCAUCACGAUGUGCCAUGUUCUCCAACUACUCGAGAGAGGACAGAGGAUGUAUACAG